rnacentral:miRNA from 1 species
AGGAUAUGAGACGACGAGAACA